AUUUCAAGCGAAAGCGUUAAUACCCGUGACUGAAUAUGUGGUCACCUUUGAAGUUGCGGGGAGCUAGUGGUGAAACCGGUCGCAUUUUUU
rnacentral:ncRNA from 26 species